rnacentral:rRNA from 1 species
CAGUCGCCGCGGUAAUACGGAGGGUGCAAGCGUUAUCCGGAUUUAUUGGGUUUAAAGGGUCCGUAGGCGGACUUAUAAGUCAGUGGUGAAAGCCUGUCGCUUAACGAUAGAACUGCCAUUGAUACUGUAAGUCUUGAGUAUAUUUGAGGUAGCUGGAAUAAGUAGUGUAGCGGUGAAAUGCAUAGAUAUUACUUAGAACACCAAUUGCGAAGGCAGGUUACCAAGAUAUAACUGACGCUGAGGGACGAAAGCGUGGGUAGCGAACAGGAUUAGAGACCCCCGUAGUCCCUGUCUCUUAUAC